ensembl:lncRNA
CUUCCGGGUCAGAGUUCAUCCCACACUACGUUAUCAACAAAGCUCGACGAAGCCAUGCUAGCGCAGUGGAACGACCUGCUAUUUGUAGCGAUUAUUAAGUGUUUACACUGCUUAAAGUCUUUUUAAGGCAAUAUGCCAGGUCCCACAGUUCAGUGCGGGACUGCCACAACGGUACCCGUGGGCUAAAGAAGUGGAUGGAAGAGUUUUGCCCUAUUCACGAGUGCAAUAAAGGAACCUCGCGCUGUAUAUGUGACCCGCCUUAUGUACUCGUCACAUUUCCUACUGAAAGAAAAGAUCCAGAAUGUCGUGCCGAAUGGAUUAAAUUAACCAAAGAACUACAGACUCUUCACAACCUGCUCAAACUCUUGGUACAGGACCUCACCACACGGGUCAAGAAGGUUUCCAUCUCAUUUCUACUCUGAAGCUCACCUUCUCCUGCUCAAACUGCUGACAAAUGUUUCUGCUGCUCUAAAGUCUGGUCUCCAGAACUUCCUAAAAACUCUCAAAUCUCUUCUGCUGCAGGUUGCUUUGUAGAACUGUUGCAGAAAACCUCACUAAACCACAUGGAGGGGCCUCAAGAUAGUCGUCCAAAUGAAACCAUACAAAAACCAAACUAGUACAACCCAAACGCUAAAGUCUCCUGCAGCCUACCAGAGAACCUCUGAGAACAGAGGAUCAGGACAGGAACUCUUACCUUCUGGACAACCACCGCUGGUUCACAAACAAGAAUACAGACUGUGUCUGACCAAAAACCUCUGAAGACUCACUACAGCCAAGAUAAAGACAACACAGCUGCACCAAAUCCGCUAAUCACUGCACACAUUAGCACCAUGUGCUAACUGUGGCUAAAGAACCUCAUUUACCAAGACAACGAUCCAGUACAAAGCCCUAAACCACACCAAGAAACACAGUAAAGACGAUUUUACUGCUGGAAGCUGCAAGCCAACGCCUAAAGAACAAACUAAAGCAAUGGAGCCAAACCCAGUUCACUGGUGAAGAGAAUCAGAGGAAAGGUUUGUCUACAGCUAAAUAAAGCAGGAAGACACUGAGCUGCUCAGGUGUUCCUGAUAAAACCAAGCAGCCACCUGGACAGCCAAUAGGAACACAGCUUCCUGGAAGUCCAGAGGGCUGGGUUAGUGAAGGAAAUUUAAUUUGAAGUUGAAGCAGAAAGUUAACAAAGAAAGUUGAAAACCACCUUCUGAUCCCUGAAAUCUCUGAGUUUUCACACAAAGAACACCUGAACAUGUCAAACUGGUUCCAUAGUAGAACCAUCAUUGUAAAAACGUCAUAGUAUGGUGUGUUGCUCAAAAAACAUUAGGACCCGGCUGUCAGGGGACAAACAUGUAAGAAACAUGAGAACAGAGAGAACCCAACCAGUAGGUCACAGUUUAUCAUCCCCCAGUCAUCUCCUGAAGUCCAUAUGGUGAGAGACAUCAGUAUCUGGUUGUUAAUUUACCAGAGGAUGCUUAUAAUCAUGAUGAUGUGGUCUGUACUCUACAGUAUUUUAGUGACUCAAUACAUGCCUAAGUUGUUUUUUUUAAAAUGCUUUUUAGUUUUUAAUAAACAUUUAAUAGCCUAUAUGUAAUCAAUAAAUGGCCUUUGCCUAUCUUAAGAAAAACUCACUCAGAAAUCUGAUAUGUUAACAGUACUAAAUAAAUCAAUAAAUACAUGCAUACACACAAAAAUAAGUUAAUACAUUAACUGUGUUAAGAUAAGAUUUAGAUUUUUUUAAAAAAGUUGUUUAUGUUUUUGCACAAUCCAGUAUUGCUCACUGGUUGGUCAUUACAUUUUGUUUAGUUUGAUUUCACUGUUUAAAAUGAUGCCACCUCUUUUCAGACAGAACCUGUGAUAAUAAAACAAUACAAAAUUUUUAGUUCCGUGUUAAUAAAGCACUUAAAGCUUUAAGUAUGGCUAAAUGCUUUUUUCAGAAUUAAAUAUAUCACUCCUUAGGUGGUAGUGGCCCCAAGUUCAGUAAAGUUGGAAAGAUAUUCACAGAUUCAGACUUCCAGCAUCAAUAACUCAUUAGAUAUAGGUUGUCAAAACAUAAACGGUGCCUCUUUCCCAUUGUUGCAAGGCAGACAAUGUGCUACAAGCCCAGUUUUAUCAAAAGUAGCUGUCUUUCAAGCUACAGGAAUAACAUUGGUGUCUAUGGAGUGAACAGGGUCCGUCUGCAAUUUGCAAAACCGCUGCAACAGUAAAGAGAGACAAAUAUUCAAUAACUUCACUCUUAUACAUUGUAGUGUCACUAAAAUCACUGCAGCCUUCAACUGGCUCCUGUUGACAAAGUGUUUUAACAGAAAUGUAAAUGCUGUAAUUUGAUUCUUUUAAUGAACCAUGUAACUUGAAUGGAUGUGAUGCUGGUGUGACCACAGUGCACACGUCUGAUGUUGCUCACAGUGGUCCAAGGGACGCUCAGGGAGUUUGUGUGUUUGCUCAGACUCAGGAAAAAUUACAGGGAACAUUGGUCCUCGCCUUACUAUGUGAAGUGUCUAGAGAUGAUACAUGUUGUGAAUUAGUGCUAUAUAAAUACAACUCAAUUGAAAUUAAAUUAAAGUGUAUCGUUUCUAUAUUUUAGAUUAUCCUUGAUGGCAUAAAAAAGGGUGGAAAAGGUACAUACUACAUACUAUUGUUUUAACCAGACGGAUGAACAAUUUGUUCUCACAGGCCAUCGCUCUAAUAAACAAUUAAAUCUAUAAUGACAGAAACAACUAUUUUUGUAUGAUUAACAACUCAUAACCACUGUAAAUACUGUAUAUUACAUAACUGUUAAUAUUUCAUUCUACAAACAUCGCUCUCUGCUCCAUUGCACUAUUGCAUUGAAAGUGUCAGUAAUCCUGCAUUUAUUGUUAACCUUAUCUAUUCCUAUCAUCAAAAUCUGCACAAUUUACACUAAAUGUUUGGUUCAGUGUAAACAUGUUCUUUUACACAUAUCUUUGGCUGUGAUAUUAAUCGAUAAACACUUACGUUCCUUUCUUUAAUCUGUGGGCCUGGUUUAAAUUCAUGUGUGCUUUUUGGUGUGAAUACUUUGACAGCAAAGAAAACAUUUUUUAUUCAUUGUACGUGUGCAUGUACUUGGCCAAUAAAGAACACCUGCCAUUG